UUUAGAAAUCUUUCUUGUAAGUGGUGAAACUCGAUAUAAGGACCUAUAAGGUUGGUGGUAAUGUCAACACUACUAGGUUAUCACAUGUUGUUUAAUUUUUUGACACUUACCUAACUUAUUUCAUCAUUAUCACAUAAUCACCAUGAUUCUUCACAUAAUAAUCACUAUAAUACAAUAACUAUAACAAUAUGCAUCUAGUCCAAGAAUUAGCAUAGCUCAUAUAAGAUUCACAUGCAACCCAAAUGUUAUUACUUCCUCCGUUUUAAAAUAAGUGAAACACUUCUCUCUCAUUCAUGUCAGAGCUUUUUGAGAGUAAUGUUUCAUUUAUUCCAAAAUAUAGGGAUUAUUAUUUAUUUUUAUUAUUACUUUAGUUGAAAAAAUGAAACGUACCUCGAAUAUUACCUAAUUAAACUAAUUCAUACAACUAUCAUGUUCUACCAAUAUUUUCUGUUUUUUAUUGGAAAAGGAGAGGGAUGUUAUCAUUAAUCAUAAAAGAUUGAAAGAGUACAAUCAAACCAUACAUAAACUCGAAAAAUCUACCAGCCAAUGUGCUGGUAGUUCCUACAAGGCUCGUAGCCUUGGUAGGGGGUUAGCCCUUGGGCUGUCUUAAUUUCCCAAUCAAAAAAAAGAAAAAAAAAAACUCGAAAAAUAAUACACGUAUUAUAAACCCAAGACAUAUCAACUCUAUUAAAUAACUGCUUCGAUAUCUUGUAAGUAGAUGUCUUUAAUACGUCCACCUCAUCAGAAAUCCAUUUUAGUAUAAUCUUCCAAUUAAGUAUACAUGACUGAUUUUCAAGAACAACAUCCCUAAUCCAAUGCAAAACUAAAACUAACAAACCAACCAAGGAGAGGUUACUAACACAAUCAUAUCCAUGAAGUCAUAAAUUGUAGAUGGCUAAUGCCCUGAAUAAUAAAAGACCUAAAAUCUCAAACAAUGAACUAAAAACUAGAAUUAAAAAUUGGGCUUGUAACUCUGAAAACGCAAGAAAUUGGCCCAACCUUGACAAGUCCACAACUCAGCACAUUUCCUCACUCCCGCUUUUUUUCACUCUCAAAGCUUCUUCAUCAAUGGACAAUGAUCACAUUCCACACGCAGGGUAUUAUUUCUUUUCAAAGCAAUGUUUAACUUUUGGGUUCCUUAUAAUGUGGCUAAGGUGCUUUCUUCCUUACCAAUGAAGUAUGGUGUAAUAGUUGUACUACAGUCAAUUGAAGAUUGUGAGGAGUAGGUGGAAUUACAAAUCAUACCUUUGCCAAGUUUCCUUGUCGAUAAGAUUGAGGUAAAGUAGCAUUAUUCAGGAAUCUUUUAACCACCAACAAUACUCACAUUGUUGGAGAGUUGUAAGUGUUUACAUGCCUUUCCUUUUCUUUUCUUGUUUCUGGAUUCCAGUAUAGCAUGUUGUCAGGAUAUAUGCUUUAGCCUUUCCUUGUAAAUUAUUGAUGUCCUAUGGUAAGUUUGGCAUGAGAAUUAAGAAUACUUUUUCAGAGCUAGUAUGAAAUUCUGUGCUGGAGCAUACGCAUGGAAACUCAAAGCAAAAUUGUUGUUCUUGUUUCCACAUAAUUCAGCUGAAAGUUUUACUGUCUGAUAUUCUUUAGAAAUUACUUUUCUGAGCUUAACUUUUUUUGUCCUUAAAAACUCUGUUCCCGUCCUAGAAGACGUGAAUUAAUUAUUUAAAUCAAUGCAAUAACUGUCAUGGUUUGGUAUGUGAUUAGCUGACCUACUUCGAAAACAAAUUACUAUGACUGUUUAUGUAUGACAAAAGAACUUUUCAAAUCAAUAGGUUCUUGGAACUCUGAUAAUGGUUUUCUACUUGUAUAAUAAACAUUGUCAUGAGGAUUAUUGUUAUACUUCCUCCGUAACAAAAUAGAUGUUACACUUUGAAAAUUGCACUAUUCACCUAUUACAUUUGACCAUGCACCUUUUAAUUUUAGAUAAUAUCAACCGUUACUAUAUGAUAUGUUGUUGGAUUUGUUUCAAUAUAUACUUAUAAUAUUAACUUCUUAUCAUUUUUACUAAUACACAAUUUAAGUUAUUAAUGAUCAAAGUAUUGCAUCGACAAGUGUGAAAGUCAAAGUGUAACGUUUAUUUUGUUACGGACAAAAAAAAAAGAUGUACCUAGAAUCAUACAAAGGGGAUAAUAGCAUUUCAGGCUGAUGUACAAAGUAGUUAUGUUCUAGGUUUUUGUAGGCUACUUUAAGUUCAUGAUACAUAUUGAGUGAUGCAGAUUGCAGAAUGACCUAGCUAGAACAGAUUUGGAUAAACAAAAUUUAAUUUUUCUUUUUCUUUUUAUUAUACUACUUAUUUUUUUUCUUUAUGUCUCUGCCCUUUGAAAUGAUAUCAAAUAUAAUUCAUGCUAUCCUGUCAUCUAAUGAAGAAGUCCUGAUGAAAUUAUUCAAGGGAAUAUAUUAGCAGUGAUUCUGAUUUGUCUGAGUAAUUAAGAUGUAGGGUCUUUGACAAAGAUAUUCUGUUUGUAAUUGUUCUAAGUAUUAUGUCAUGACAAACAUGCAAAAUUAUUCCCUCUUCACAUCUUGUUGAAAUUGUGAUGAUUUUUAUCAGUUUGCUAGUUUGGCUAUACUUUUUUGGAGCAUUGCAUAUUCUGCAUCAAUCUGAAAAACCAAUCUUCAAUUAGAAAAAAGAAAUACACAAAUUCCAUUUGAGGUUAUGUACUUGUUUAACACAGGACUUGCAAAAAUCAAUGUGAAGCCAGAUGAGAGAAUCUAACUAAUUGUCCUUGCUUCAAUAGUUCAUUUGCCUGUGACAGCCUGUUUGCAUUAUAAUACUGUAAGAAGUAUAUGUCAUUGGAUACUGAUAUGAUUUUCAUUAUCACUUAGUAAGUAUUAUAAAUAUUGUCUGAUUGUCAUACCCAUAUCUGACUAUCCUUAUCUGCCAAUGAAUACCAAUCAUUUCAUGCCAAAUAAAUUUCAUUGUUGUUUUCUGGGGGAGAGGUGGAAGGAUGUUGUCACUUUUAAGCUUCAGCCUCCCUUCCAAAGAGGGAAUUUCCAGAAAUGAUAAGUUGAUGGACCAAUCUUAAAUACAGUUGUUUUUUUACCUGUAGACAUUGAUCACACACGUGGAAUGUCGAAACUCAAACGUCUAAUCCAUUUACUUUUCUUUUUUUUACUGCUGUGUUUAACCAUUAGAGUACACAGUACAGCAUUAUGUUUUAAGAAUAUUUAGAAAAGUAAUCUUAACUAUAACUGUGUUUUCAUGAUCAGGCUAACUAUGAGUUAUUCUAGAAUGACCUCAAUUACGAAGGUACCUUUUUAAAUUAAUCCCAGUUUUAGUUUUUCACAAUAUUUUCCCUUUCUUUCGUUCGAUCUCCUAUAGUUAACUAGAGCUUGUCACAUCAUUUUAUGACCUUCUCAAUUGGUUUAUUUUUAGGUCAAAGUACCGGUUAUAGCCGAUAUUCCUUAUAGUUGGAAUUAUUAUAAAAUAACUUAUAGUAGUUGUUCCGGCUGUUAUUUGUAUUCUUCAUGUUGAUUUUCCUUAUCUUUGAAACAAUAAUGAAUUGAAAAAGUAUAGUAAAUAAUCAUGUAAAAAAUGUGAUGCUAACUACUUAUUCUUUUCUUGUGCUCAAGUAUGAGGUGAUGGUAAAUGAGAAGCUUGAUAGGUGACAUACUGCUUGCAUCAUUUUCAGUAAGUUUACAAUAUUCUCUUAAUUGCAUUUGCUAGUUUGCAGCAACUGAAUGAAUUGCUUUGAUGAAUAUUAGUGGUAACUUGGGUUCUUUUUGGUGUGUCCUUCCUUUUUAUGAUUCUCAAAGACCAUAUAUUAAUAUAUGUAUUCUUUUAAAUGUUGAUGUCCAUGCUUUUGGCUUUAUAAAAACAUCUUCUUCAUGAGGUCCUACAGAAUAAUAAUUGAUGAGGAAGGAAGCACCUUUGCCUCCUCUUCUUCAGACUUUUUUUUGAUUAAUAGCCUAAGAACUUCACCUACAAACCUAAAAUUAACACUUAACAGUGCUCUUUCGGCAUCAUCCCCAGAAUCUACUUUUCCUAUUAUGGAAUAUAUAAAGCAAUUAAAAAGAGCUCUAAGUACUGCACCUACUUAAAGAGAAAGCUUCAUCAAACAUCUCUUUUUUCUUUACUUGUUUUCCAAAUAUUUGGGCCACUAUAUUUCAUAAAAAUUCAUGCAUGAAAAAUAUAUUCCUUCCUUCAUUAUGGCAAGUUUGUGAAUUUGAAGUAUUGGAUAUCAACUAAUCAUCAAAAUACAAUCUUAUGUAUUUUGCUUACUUGUUAAGUAUUUUUUGUAUUAACUUUUUAACUUUACGACUAAUUAAUUUGGUAGGUCGGUAGUAAAUGAUGGUAGUGAAAAGUGAUGAUAAAUAAUGUUUUGGUGAUUUUGUGAGGAAAAAGAAAUCUCAUGCCAAGGUCCGUGGUAGUGAGAUAGUAUGGGGUGCCAACGGGAAUCUAUGAAACAAACAUAUAUUCGAGUUAUCACAGACCUAACUUUUUAUCUAUUUCUCGUGGAUUAUAUACUAUUCUUUAUUUAAAUAACAGCGGUCUUAGUGUACUGUAUUUGAUAGAAGAAUUUGUGAUUAUACAUUAAGACUUUAGAAAAUGUAAUUUUGCAUUGUUCAUUACUUCCUAUUAUGUGCAUUAAACCCUUGGUGUAUGUCAAAGUGUUGUGGACCAACCAGUUAAGAUCCCCAGACUAAAGGCGCGCCUAUAUGCUUUCAGCAAACAAAAGCAUUAUUGUCCCUUAAUAUGUGCUCUCAUUUUAAUUUCAGCUUUAGUAGUUGAAGUUCUUUUGUCAUGUAAUGUUACCUGGUAUCUAAUCUUUUUUCUUUUUGCAUCCUGGAAAUUAUUUUACAAUGCACCAUAACAUGUAAUUGUAAGGCACUCAGAUAACAACACUUUGAAAAAUCAAUCAUUAAAUUCUGAUUCCCUCCCAAGUUAUCAACACACUUGACCGCAACCCAAGAAAUCUAAAGGAAGACCGAUCUUUGAUCAAAUUGACUUUUUGGAUAUGUUGUUCGCCAUAUUGUGCCCCUAACUUUUCCCCUUUUUAUUUGUGAUCAAUUCUUUCUCAAGUUUCAGCUGGCUUUAGGAUAUGGAUUACUGGCUUAAUCUAGUAUGAAUAUUUACUCUUCUUUGUUUAUUAUUGCUUGCUUUUGUAUUGGUUUAAAGCAUAAAGUAGCAAGUCAUUUCUAUUUAUAUCCUAGGUGUACUUUACUUCACCUAGUACAUCUUUUUGUGGAAGGGGUAGGGGGAGUUGUGGCUUCAAUUGAACUUGUUUUUACCUCUUGCAAAACUAUAGAUAAAGUGUUGCAAAGGACAUAAGAGAAAACUAGAUUCUUUGAUACCACGGAGUUGGUCACUUUACGAUGUAAGGUCAUUGAUAUAGUCAUAUAGCUCACAUACGACUUAGGGUUUGUUCUGUUCAACUUAUUUUGUCUUAUCUUAUUAUGCAAUGAAGAUUGCAUACUUUUAAUUUGUUUAGAUUUGGGUGUGCACUUAAUAUUUCUUUUCUUAUGAUAGUUCUCUUGGAAAAAAUAUCUUUAUCAUAUAUUGGUUGAUAUAUGAUGGAGUAAUAAUGAUUUUAGUUGAGAGAAUCAUAUCAUAUAGGGGUAUAAACAACGAUCUCUUGAAUAAAAUAUCGCAAGGAAAAUCUUCUUUUAGUUUUGUGAUCCAAUAGAAAUGCAAGUAGGAAAAAAUAAAUGUUCUAUGUACAGUUAAUGUACAUGUAGAAUAGUCCUUCAUUGAGUUAUUCUUAUAGUGCAAACCAAAGUUAAGGAUAAAUUCUAUGCUCAUAUCUACUUUGCAACUUUCUAACCAAAAUAUGGGUAUUGAAAUGAACAGCCCAUUUGUUAUAGCAUGGCCGCAUGGUUCUGAUCCUAACUUCUGGAAAUGGUACAAGAGAAGAUUCUGGGUAUUUCAAUGUUUACAUUGUUACUGUGAAAAAAAUGAUGCAAUUGCAGGUGUCGUUAAGGAAUAUUAUUAAUCAGGAAAAGUAUACCAACAAGUGCUUGGAAUAGCUGAUAAAUAGUUGUUUUUUUGCUUAACUAGAAAUCUCGAGUUCAAGCCAUAGGGUUGCAGACUGCAGUGACCCUUAUUAAGAAAGAUUCCAAACAAAUUGGGACCUAACCCGGCUCAAAUCCGGAUUAGUCGAGAUCUAGUUAUUUGAAAUAGUAUAGGACUCUAAUAUAAUAUACUUACCAUAACUCUAAUACUAGUAGGCUUCGAAUUGCCGGGUGGUUUCAUAAAAGAAAAAGCAGGGGAAGUAUAACGGAAUUUACUCUGCUGGUCAAGCUAAUAAUUAUUAAGACAUAACCAGACUUGGGGAUGAAGGAUAGAACCUCUGAGCUGUUACUGUAAGUACCUUUUUACCUCUAUAACUAUUCUUUACCGUAAAAAUAUUAUCUUGAAUGAGCCAGUGCUAAAAAUAUUCUGAGAACCCAAAAAAAGGAAGUAAUUUUGUGACCAUAUCUUCAUAUAGUGCUCACGGCUCCUAACAUCUGAUUCCUCUGUGCAUGGAUAAUUCUGCAUUAUAUCUUUGGUUCUAUUCUUGAGUAGAGAUAGAGGGAUGGAGCAAAAGAGUUCUUGUUAAAAUUAAAAUGAACUGGCGGAUUUGAUACUCAUUUUUGUUUUAGUUGAUGAGAAUGGCUUGAGUGUACCCCAAAAAUCUAUGAAUAGAUUCUUUGGUUCCUAUAAGCUUACAAGGAACAAUAGGAAUCUCACUAUUUCCACCAUAUGAAAGAAAACGAGAGGAAAAAAGUAGGAAAAAAAGAACAUUAUAGGUCUAAUUUCUUUUCAAUCAAUUGGGUGGGGGGAAGAAAAUAUCCACUAAAACAAUUCGUAUCAAUACACUCGUCCGUUUAUUUUUCUUCCUACACCCACUUAUAUGUUCUUUCGUAUCAAUACACUCGUCCGUUUAUUUUUCUUCCUACGCCCACUUAUAUGUUCUUUCGUAUCAAUACACUCGUCCAUUUAUUAUUCAAUGUGUCGUCUUCAAUAGUAUGUUCUUUCUACAUAGAAUGAGUUCUCUUUACCUGAACUUAUUUGAA